AAGAACUGUUCCUCACCUCUGAUGACUUAAGGCUCCAAGUUCUUUUUAGAAUGUUCAGAUCUUGGGAGCAGGCCAAGAUGGGUGUGUGGGUGAGGGGAGCAAGGAUGGCUAGAUGCUUGACUUCUGUUUGUGGACUUGAGACUACUCCCUGGAAAAGAGGAAACUUCCAUUUCCCUAGUGGCCUAUCACCGAGGAAACCCAUUUCUUCAUCUUCAAAUUUCAUUAGGGUGAGAUUCUGGUCCUGUGGUUCCAGGCAUCACAGGCAGCUACCCUGCUGGGAUGGGAUGGAGGUGGGUGCUGUGUGGGCCCUGCUCUUUGGGGCCUGUUCUAAGAGGACAGGAAUUGACAUGGCUUCCAUAGCACAUCUGUUAUGGAGGCAGGUGCUCAGGUAGCAUUGGCCCUGCACACUCUGUUUGUUACUUCACUAUUCCAGAAUAAAUAGCCCAAAAAGGAAGAAGGAAGAAGACAAAGGAAGCAGCAGUUCGGAGAUCUGCAGCUUUGAGGCUGUUAUGGGCUGAAUUGUAUACUCUCCAAAUUAAUUUAAGUUCUAACUUCUACUACCUCAGAAUGUGACUGUAUUUGGAAGCUGGGUCUUGAGAGGCUGGGAGGAGGGGUAUUAAGGUAAAGUGAGGUCAUUAGGGUCAGCCCUAAUCCAGUCACUGGUGGCUUGAUAAGAAGAGGGAAUUUGGACACAGAGAAAAGCCCAGAUGGAGACUCAGGGAGAAGAUAGUCAUGUAUAAGCAAAAGAGAGAGACCUCAGAAGAAACAACACUGCUGGUGCUUUGAUCUCAGACUUCCAGCUUCCAGAACUUGAGACACUAAAUCUCUAUUGUGUAAGCCACCCAGUCUGUGGUAUAUGGUUUGGGCAGCCCCAGCAAACAAAUGCCAGGGCUUGAGGCUGUGGGUGCUUCAAGGAGAUGGGAGCUAAGGGGGCAUCAUCCAACCAUCAAUUAUUGCUCUAUUUGGGGCCUUUGCUUGUGCUAUUGUGGCUUUUCUUUCUCCCUCUCCCUUACUCUUUCCUGUUCUCACUCUCUUCUGUCCUUUUUAUUACCAAAGUUCCUACUUCCAGAUUUGAAUAUGCAACUAAGUUUUGACUCAGAGAUUCAGAGAACUGAUUUAUUAUUUAUUCCUGUGAGUCAAAGGAAAUGCAAAAGAAAAAAGAAAAGAAGAAAGAAAGAAAAGCAAGCAAGGGAAAACACAAUAAAAGAAAGAAAGGGAAAAGCUGAGAGCAGGAAGACAAGAAGUAGCACUCGAUGGGGGCCCAGACUUCCUUCAGUUGACUCUAAUGGAAAUCACCACACCGCCUUUGAGGACCCCUCCUGCAACACGGGCUAAAUUGAAACCAUCCUGAACUAGGGCAGGGCAGCUGUGGAAUAUAGAUCUGAGCCUGGCUAACACUAUGGCUCAUAGAAUCAUCUGCUGCUUGGAUUCCUUGCUGCUGCCAAUUAUGAGAAUGUUCUGGAAGUUCAAAACUUUUAUGUACACCUGGGAAUUUGGCCUCGUGAACCUCCUCUUGCUCUUGGGCCUUGUGUGUUUCUGAGGUAAACCUGCUGGUAGAGGGGAACAUGCCUUCCCAUCCAUAAGCGUAGUUCACUCAGAUUAAUUUACUUC
ensembl:lncRNA